rnacentral:misc_RNA from 1 species
UCGCUGGCCCCCGCAUUUGGAUAUAAGAGAAAGUUCGGCUUUGAGUUGAUCUCGCUGGCAGAGGUUGGAACCAAGAGAGCUAUGUAGAGGGAUCAACUCCCCAUAUAUGUUGGGUGAGUUAAUGGCUCUCCGUUGGAUGGUCCAGGUUGUGGCCAGAUUUUAUCUGGCUAGUUUCUUGAAAUGGGCUCAAAUAUGGGCUUUUAGUUUGGGCUAAGAAAUAGCUUAGGCUUACUACGAGUUUUGGGGGCCUUAUACUGACCUAAGUCUUAGUGCCGAUCCGGCUUGUGGGAUCGGGUCAUGAUACAGGAAGAAUAUUGAAAGCAAAUU